rnacentral:rRNA from 2 species
GUAUACGGCCAUACCACCCUGAACGCGCCCGAUCUCGUCUGAUCUCGGAAGCUAAGCAGGGUCGGGCCUGGUUAGUACUUGGAUGAGAGACCGCCUGGGAAUACCGGGUGCUGUAGGCU